rnacentral:rRNA from 1 species
UAGGGAAUCUUCCGCAAUGGGCGAAAGCCUGACGGAGCAAUGCCGCGUGAGUGAAGAAGGCCUUCGGGUCGUAAAACUCUGUUAUAAGAGAAGAACAAAUUGUAGAGUAACUGCUACAGUCUUGACGGUAUCUUAUCAGAAAGCCACGGCUAACUACGUGCCAGCAGCCGCGGUAAUACGUAGGUGGCAAGCGUUGUCCGGAUUUAUUGGGCGUAAAGGGAGCGCAGGUGGUUUCUUAAGUCUGAUGUGAAAGCCCACGGCUUAACCGUGGAGGGUCAUUGGAAACUGGGAAACUUGAGUACAGAAGAGGAAUGUGGAACUCCAUGUGUAGCGGUGGAAUGCGUAGAUAUAUGGAAGAACACCAGUGGCGAACGCGACAUUCUGGUCUGUUACUGACACUGAGGCUCGAAAGCGUGGGGAGCAAACAGG